AGUGUGGCCCUUUGGAGUUUUUUGGGGUCUUAGCUUUCUCUCUAGGAAAGCCUCUAAAGUUUCCAUCUUUUCUUCCUCUCUUCCAUUGAAACACCACCCAUCCAUUAAAGCUUUAGUUGUGUUGAAGGAGAACCCAUUUUUGAAGAUUUGGGUGCUUUCUAAACCUCUCAAGCUUUUAUUUUUCUGUUCUAAAAGGAACCAAGAUCUGUGAGUGCAUUGGAUUCUAUUUGUCGUGUGGACCCUUGUGAUACCGAGUUCGAGUCAGAGGGGCAUACGGGUACAGGUUCAGGUAACUCGGGGGUUGAUACCUUGGGCGACAGGAGGCCAGAGCUGAGUUGAGAUAUAUGCUGUUUAUGAUGAUAUGUUUGGACGCUGACAUAUUCGUUAUUUAUUAUUAUGUUGUUUGGGUUGAGACUCUAUUGGGCUUUGUUGCCUUAUUUGGUGAGCAUGGGGGUUGUCCAUGCCACAUUGACUUUACUUUGUUGAUUUAGAUUCGCAUUGUAUAAUGUAUCAGGAUUAUGGUCC